UGGAUGGGGAGCUAAAGUUGAACUUUGUCAAGAGUACCAAAAACGUAGGGACAGCCCUGAACAUGCUACUGCCAUAUGUAUGUAUGUGUUUAUUCAUAAUGUAGGCCCACUCUGUUUACUGAAGCUUACUCCCAGUCACAGAACAGAAGAUACUUUAAUUGUGCAUGAAUUCCCAUGAUAAUGAAUUCCAAGAAAGAGGAGGUCUCCCAUGACAAUCUCAAGCUUCAUUAAGUACAAACUUUGGUGUAUCCUUUGGUUCAAGAAUUGUUAAUGAAGAACCCCAACCUUUCCUUAAUCAUGAGAAUACAAA